UGUAGCUGUACCUCCAUUAGAUUCUUUUUUAAACUUUAAUGAAAGGAAAUGUUAAUCCUUUCCCGCUCCUUUGUCUCUUGCCUGAUUGCUUCGUCCUUCACAUGUAAGUAUCAAAGUGUUCAUCCAUUUUUAUGCCCUUUGUCUGCAACAAGCUGCCAAAAGAAAGUAAGAACAAGCCCACAAACAGUUGAGAAAAGUCGACUUCUUCAUCCUUCUAGUGCUUUAUUGAUGGACCGCAGUCUCUUGAAGGUGUGUGUGCUCCACUCAUCCAACACUCGAUGCGGCUCUCCACAGGACAUUUCUCCCUCUCUGUCUGUCUCUCUUCUGCCAUCACGCUCCAAUCACGCUGUGGGAUCGCCAUGCUGGCUCUUCUUUCACUCAAUGUAGGAGUUAAGCUCCAAGUGGUCGAAUGAUAAACCCACAAACCCUUCUGAUCUCUGAGAGGACACUGUGGGAGACCAAUCAAGACCUCCCCUGCUAUGUCUCCAUUCUCCUCCCACAGAUCUCUCACCUCCUGAGGGUCUCGCUUAUGGAGGAUGAAUCAAUCAGCUGUGCAUGCUUGGGAAGACAAAGAGAGGACUUUGGUGGAUCGUUCUCUAAAUCUUCUGAAGGUCAAUCGCCACAGCGGAAAUUUUGAUCAUGAUAGGUCGAUGAAGCGGGUAUGAAUACAACCUUAUCCUUUUUUUCUAGAGAUAUGGCACCAAUGUUUUUUUUUUUGCCAAUUUGGAGGACAUAACAAACAGUCUUCCUAAAAUGUCAUGUUAAGGUGAUUAGGCAGGAUAAAAGGGAUGUAUUACUUUAUAAUGGAGCUAAAUAUACAGACAAGCAAAUAACCUGAAUUAAAGUCAAUCUAUGCAAUCGGUCAAUCGGUGCAAAGUUUCUUUAUCUUCAUGGGCGACACUUAGUUAAAGAGGUAAACCAUCAAAAAUGAGGAGUGGCUGCAAGCCUGCAACUACAUGCAGCCUGGGAGUUAACAACUAAAAUAAGAUAAAGAUUAAAACAGUAAUCGUGAAUAACUAUGAAACCGACAAAUGCAAGUUGUGAGGACUCUAAAGAUAGAAAUACAGCUAUAGAUCACAAACCAAAAUAACCAACCAAUAUGACUUUAUUUGCUUUAUCCCAACAGAGCAGUGAAAUACAGAGUCUCACAUUGGUUACUGUAAAAAGUUCAUUUUGAAUCAGCUCUAGAUGAUCAUUAUUGGACUGGUACAUUAGAUCAUAUUGAAUUGGUGCAUUUUGAUUUUGACGACAGCCUCUGCAGUUGGCACAAAAGCUCUUCUUCUUUCAUUCGUCCUCUUUCUCUCUCUUUCUGCUGAUGGAUAAUUCGCUGUAGUCAUGAAGUUAGAUUUCUUGCAGCUGUGAGAGGAGAUAAUCACAAACAUGCUGAUGUAGGUUUGAUUGUCCAUUAAUUUUGGUUAAUUUUGUUGACUGCAGCACAUCACUACCUUUCCCACUUUUUUCCCAAAAGAAGAAAAUUAGUGUUUCCUACUGUGGUCUCAGGCGUCACAAAUUUGAUUUUAAAUCCACACAAAGUAGCAAAGUUUACUAUAUUUCAUACAUGAAAAUAUUACUUUCUUAAAGGAUAGUUUUGCAGCAUGGGUGUCCCGAUACAACUUUUUUACUUUCGAUAUGAAACCGAUAUUGUAGACUUCAAUACUGGCCAAUAUCAAUAUUGAUCCAAUAUUAGCACAAACUUUUUUAGCCUUAAACAUAAAAUACUGCUACAAGGUCGACAUCACUCCAUCACUUUGUUAGUACCUUAGUACACACUGUUGUUGUGAUCAUGUGGGCUCUGCAUACUGAAUCAGGGCGCUGCUAGAUAGAGGAGCUAGAGUGGAGUCUGGGAUGGACUGCUUGUAUUGGAGUGCUGAUAUCGGAGAUUUUAGAUGCAGGCCGAUACAAUCCGAUAUUCCUUUUUUUUGCUGAUAUCGGACCGAUAUCCAAUAUCAAUAUCGUAUUGAGACACCCCUAUUUUGUUGUUGUUUAUAAGAUUCUUGACAAUAGUAAGUGUAUUACCUGCCAGAGAUCCCUGCUUGUCCCCUGAUAUUGACAAACCAGCCAAAGAGCCAGAGCAGAAGCUAAGCUAGCAGUUGCUGUAGAAAGGGUCAACGCCACCAUGUAGUUUAGCUGACUUUAUAAAAGCCUAAACACCAAUGUCCUUGCAACUAUACACUCUGUACACUGUUCACACCAUUUCCAGAUGCAAUAUGUUCCUCUUCUUGCAGCACAAUGAUCAGCUGUUCAGGUCUGCAGGCUUCAAAAGGGACAAAAAUACAACUAAACUAAUCAAAUGAGUGCUUCCUCUUCAUGGUGAAGAGGACAUGCUUUUUAUCGUGGAACAAGAGAGCAGAGUACUAAGAGGCUAAAUGGACUGAAGGAGAGAGGGGAGAGACGUCUGUGCAAACUGAAGAGAUCCAAAGUUACCUGGUAAUGCAGCUUUGUAACCCGCAAGCCCAUGAGCAUGACAGGAACUGACGAAGGGAAUAAAAGUGCAUCCUUAAAGUGAGUAUGACACAGUAAUCCUGUAUGAAAAUGUACAAUCUGAGCUGCUGAAGG